rnacentral:rRNA from 1 species
UCAAUGCCGCGUGAGUGAAGAAGGCCUUCGGGUUGUAAAGCUCUUUUGUCAGGGAAGAAACACCGGCUCUAACACAGUUCGGGAAUGACGGUACCUGAAGAAUAAGCACCGGCUAACUACGUGCCAGCAGCCGCGGUAAUACGUAGGGUGCGAGCGUUAAUCGGAAUUACUGGGCGUAAAGCGUGCGCAGGCGGUUAUACAAGACAGGCGUGAAAUCCCCGGGCUUAACCUGGGAAUGGCGCCUGUGACUGUAUAGCUAGAGUGUGUCAGAGGGGGGUAGAAUUCCACGUGUAGCAGUGAAAUGCGUAGAUAUGUGGAGGAAUACCAAUGGCGAAGGCAGCCCCCUGGGAUAACACUGACGCUCAUGCACGAAAGCGUGGGGAGCAAACAGGAUUAGAUACCCUGGUAGUCCACGCCCUAAACGAUGCUGACUAGUUGUUCGGGAUUUACAUCCUGAGUAACGUAGCUAACGCGUGAAGUCAGCCGCCUGGGGAGUACGGUCGCAAGAUUAAAACUCAAAGGAAUUGACGGGGACCCGCACAAGCGGUGGAUGAUGUGGAUUAAUUCGAUGCAACGCGAAAAACUUAGCUAACCUUGACAUGUCAUUAACGAAGUAGAGAUACCUUAGGUGCUCGUAAGGAGAAA